AAUGAACGCUGGCGGCAGGCCUAACACAUGCAAGUCGAGCGAGCGGCGGACGGGUGAGUAAUGUAUGGGGACUGCCCGAUAGAGGGGGAUAACUACUGGAAACGGUGGCUAAUACCGCAUACUAUCGGAUAACCCAUAUGGGAUUAGCUAGUAGGUGGGGUAAAGGCUCACCUAGUCGACGAUCUCUAGCUGUUCUGUGAGGAUGAUCGGCCACACUGGGACUGUGACACGUCCCAGACUCCGACGGAGGCAGCAGUGGGGAAUGUUGCGCAAUGGGCGCAAGCCGGAAGGAGCCAUGCCGCGUGUAUGAAUAAGGCCUUAGGGGCGUAAAGUACUUUCAGCGGGGAGGCGUUACCGGCAGAGGAAGCACCGGCUAACUCCGUGCCAGCGGACGCGGUAAUUC
rnacentral:rRNA from 1 species